CAAGCUGACACAAACUAGAAGUCACCUGGGAGGAGGCCACCUCACUGGGAAAUUACACCAGUCUGGCUGCCCUCUGAGCAAGCCCAUGAGUUGACUGUUAAUGGGAUAGGGGCCACAGCGGAUGCUGCCACUCCUUAGCGGUGGUCCAAGGUUCUAUUAGAAAUCAGGCUGAGCAGGUCAGUAAGCAGCACUCCUCUGUGGUUUCUGCCUCAGUUCCUGCCUCCAGGUUCCUGCCCUGCCUUCCAAGAUAAUGAACCUAUGAACUAAAAUAAGCUUUCUCCCCAAUUUGCUUUUGAUCCUGCUUUUGAUGACAGCAACAGAGAAGGAACUGGAACAGAGACCUUCCUCUGCUGUGCCCCGAAGACCCAGGAGAACACCACUCAUUGCAGUGGACCUCCGGAAGCUGCAGGUGUGACUGCAUGAGACCAUUCUGCCACCAGGAUGUGAAGACAGCACCCAGGCGCAAGGGAGCUGUCUCCCUGUCUCCAGCCUCAAUGCAUAUGAAGAACCAGCCCUCCUUGUUUGAUAGCAGUCGGAUCAGAGGAGCUUUGGAGAUACCUAGCUACACCCUCUACCUGUAUGUAUAAGGCCAGACUUAGUCAAGAACACAAUCACAGUUGAUGCCAACCCAGGAUUUAGCACAUACCUAGAAUUUCCCUAGUAACACACACGCUUUGUUUAAUCCUCCACAAAAUUUAUUCUUUAAGAGGUAAACUUAGGGCUGGAGAGAUGGCACUGGCUGCUCUUCCAAAAGUCCUGAGUUCAAUUCCCAGCAACCACCUGGUGGCUCACUACCAUCUAUAAUGAGAUCCAAUGCCCUCUUCUGGUGUUACUCAUUUAUAUAAUAAAUAAAUUAAUUUUUAAAAAAAGAGGUAAACUUAGAUACAGGACACCUGUAUCUGUAUCUAGAUACAAGAAACCUGACAAGAACCAAUGAGCUCAUUAGCCAAAGCCCAGAGUAGCAACUUUGCUUCAGAGUCCAAGUGGCAUUUUGAAUUGUGCCUAAACCUCCAGAUUGGGAUUCUGAGUCUAAUUCUCAUGUCAAUAAAGAAAGCUGAAGAUAAUAUGGUGCUUCAAAGUCACAUGACUGCUAGGUUGGAAAGAGAUAAGAUCAAAGAGUCAUUCCAUACAUAGUAACGCUGUAGUAAAUACAAUUUCUAGCUCACAGUAAAUGUCUCUACUUUAUCAUCACUAAUUAGCCCCCCUUCUCUUUUUCCCUUCGGAACCUUAGUCUUUGUUUUUAAGAUCUAUUCUUUUGUUUUAAUUAUGUGUCUGUGUCAAGUGCUGGGGGACUAAAGUUGGGUAUGGGUGGUUGUGAGCCACUCAGCAUGACUGCUGGGAGCUGAACCGGAGUCCUCUGGGAGACACGCUCUAAUCACUGAACCAUCUCUCCAGUCUACAGGCCCCAAUCUCUUAUGUGUGUUCAUUUGGAACUCUCACAAGUUAAACUAUGACAGCUCAUGAGGGCAGAACUGGAGGCUAAAGUACUAGAGUGACCCCAGAAUAUACAAGACAGGGGUAUGGGUCCCCAGUCUCAAAUCUCAUUUCAUUCAUUCAUUCAUUCACUCAUUCAUUUAUUGCUUCCUGGGAACAAAACACUAAUUUUGAAACAUAUGCACCCAUGUGACUGCUGUGGCUUCCAGUCUCCUGAAACACACUUGCACAUCAUUCCUCCAGAGGAUGUCAGCGAUCCGCAGUUACGAAGCACUCACUCAUCUGCCCGCCUCACAGGCCUCUGAACCAUCCCUGAGCUGCAGGAGGUUGAAGUGCCUCAGCUGGAGAGUGUUAAUAGAUCCUAUCACUCUUAGAUACACAAACCAGAGACGUGGCAACCGUUACUUAUUUGAGUGGUUUGGGUAUUUUAGAACAGAAAUUGCUUGCUUGGGGUUGUUUUAUUUUUUUCCCCUCCUGUAACCCGAAGAACAAACUGUUGUGUCCGCUUAUUACAUUGAUAAGUAAAUUAGAUGCAAGACUUUCACAUCUCAUAAUCAACUUCACCCAACAAUAAAUAUAAAAUUGUGAAAUUUCUACCACCC
rnacentral:lncRNA from 1 species